rnacentral:rRNA from 1 species
CGUCUAUAUACGUAUAGCAUAUCAAUAAGCGGAGGAAAAGAAACUAACUAGGAUUCCCUUAGUAACGGCGAGUGAAGCGGGAAGAGCUCAAAUUUGAAAUCUCCAAGGUUCUACCUUGACGAAUUGUAGUUUAAAGAAGUGUUUUCUGUUGGAGUUUUGGUAAAAGUUCUUUGGAAUAGGACAUCAUAGAGGGUGAGAAUCCCGUAUUUGACCAUUACUUUCCAGCGUUGUGAUACACUUUCAAAGAGUCGGAUUGUUUGGGAAUGCAGUCCAAAAUGGGUGGUAAAUUUCAUCUAAAGCUAAAUACUGGCGAGAGACCGAUAGCGAACAAGUACCGUGAGGGAAAGAUGAAAAGAACUUUGAAAAGAGAGUUAAACAGUACGUGAAAUUGUCAAAAGGGAAGCGUUUGACACCAGUGUUGUUUUCUCGAAAAUCAAUUAAAAGUGGUGGGAUUUUGUGUUGUAUUGACUUUAUCAGCUUUCUGCACUUUUUUCCUGUCUUUUUUAAUGCACUUUUCGUUUAACAAGUCAACGUCAAUUUCUUUUGUUGUAAAAAGGUCAUUGGAAGGUGGCUUUCUUUUCGGAGAAAGUGUUUAUAGCCUUUGACUCCUGCAAUCGGAGAGACUGAGGUCUGCAGCGUAGAUCCUUUUGGAUUAGAUUCAUUUGUGCUAAGUUAUAGCUUUUUAUAGACAACAUGUUGACUAUAUUUAGUCUUGUAACUUACUCGCUUAUGUAAUUUUACCUACGCUUAGGAUGUUGACGAUCAGCUGAGCGCG